UGGAAAUUCAAAAGUGUUUGAUUUUGUAAGUAUUCUUUUAAAUACACUUUUCAAUGAACAAUAACAAUACAGGUAAAAAUUAUUUGCCUUCAUAUCAAGGAGCUAUGCUAUACCAAUAAAAACACACAUUAUACCCCCACCCUUUAUACAACACAGUGACUGAAUAAAAUGGAUUUGAAACACAACUACUUAGAGAGGUUGUUAAAAUUGUGGAUUUUUAUCUGAAGAGAUUGGGGAGAAGAAGAGACUUUAGAACACCCUCCCUCCCCCCAAAACAGGGCAGGUGACAGGCAAAAUAUACCUCUCUAAUUCACCUAGGAAGAAUUCCAGUUACUGCUUCCUAUGAAAUCGGAACAGGAAUAUUUUUCUGUAAAUCUGUGUUUUCACGAAUUACACACUAACCUGCAUUCUUUAGGUGGUGAAUAAAAAGAGAAAAAGCUUUAGAAGUAGUAUUUCCUGUAGAAACAAUUGCCUGUCAAACAAAGCAUAAAAAGACAAAAGGCAGAAACACUGUUUCAGCUUGAAUGCCUUAAUGUCACUAUUUGUCAUGCAGCACCUCAUCAGAAAACCCCGAAGUACAGUUAACUCUACUCCUCUUUACACCACACACUUCCGCUGUUGUUACAGGAUUAAAAUGUGCCUGGCCUGACAAUGAAACAGCAGAGCCAUCGCACAUUGUUAUGCAACCCAGUGUCUGCAAGGGUGGCUCAUAGCUCCUUCUUUAUUCAGCAAGUGCCAAGUGCAUGUUUAAUCAAUGUCACAGCUCACCACAGUGUGCAAGUAAAGCCACUGUCAUUCCUCUGCUCAGAUUUGACUGGCUAAGUUAUGCAAUGCUCUGAAGAAUACCUCGGAAUUAUUUUCGGAGGCUCUGAAUGCAGGUGCGUGACAGCGUUUACACUAUUGCCAAUAAAACAGACUUCUUUUCAUCCUUUUUCAAUCUGGACUAAAAUGACAGCGUGCGACUGCACGUAGUGCACUGCAUUUGGCAUUACAGCAUGUCAACGUGAGAAAGCCUUUUCAGACGGCUGCCACAGAGUAAAUCAAAGGCUGUUCAUUUUUUGAAGUACAGUCUUAAUAAAUAGCUAAAUAUAAUUCAAUAAAAACAGGAAGUGUUUGUAUUUUUUUAAGGCAAAACCAAACGGCAGGUAUUUGGUUGCUCUGCAUCAGCUGAGAAAAAAAGUCCUCAGUUUUGGUGAGAAUUAGUCAACAGUGAGGAUCAUUAUCAGAAAGGGUUUUUUCUGUUUUCUGACUACACUUGACUUUAGUGGAUUACUGAGAGAUGUGGCCAGUCAUUUGGAAGAUUCUGUAACGUUAUUAGCUGCACUGUUAAACUUCUCUAUCAAGAAAUUGUUCAUGCUCCUAUCUGGUCUGUCUGAAUGAGGAGAGCAGCCCCUUCAUGAAGAUAACAGCCUGGUUUGCCACUGAAUUGACGACUAAGAAGCAUGUCUGAUGACAUUUUAUUCCUGAUGCAAUGUAGGCUAGCUGCCAGAAUACUAGUGAAGAUAUUUGCAGAAAAAAUGGGAACCUCUGCCAUCACAACACUGGAAGAUGUAAGAAGGCAAGAGGAGAAGGAGGAAAAAGAAGAAUCUAUUUUAGCACUGCUUGGGAUUAUUGGAACUGUGCUCAAUUUAUUUGUUAUUGUUUUUGUGUACAUCUACACUACACUUUGAUGACAUUUUUGAACAUCAAUUGUAGCGCAUACAGUACUAAGACCAGCGAUAGUAAGAAUCAUUUCUAAAUUUAAAGAAAAAUUACAGUCAGAAAAGAUUAUCAAACACAUUCCAGAGCAAAGUAGCUGGCUAGGGGCACCACAUCAAAGACUGCUAAAUAUAUCUGUGAGCCCAGUUAGGGUGCUAAAUUAUGUAAAUGAAGGCAGACAAUAUUCAGCUUCACACUGAUAACAGAUGAAACCCAAAUAGUGAAAACACAGAUGGCACUGUUUUAUUGCCAGCGAACAUGCAAGACAAGAAAUGUAAGCAGACAAACACUGAAAACAAUCACAACAUAAAAAGAGAUGAAUUAGAUAAAUAUAUAAAUAAAUAUAUAUAUAAAGCCCCAUGAUGCUUUCUAUAGUUUUGUGUAAUGAGUGUAUAUCUGAGACCAUAAAACAGAGAAAAGAAUUUUUAGAUCACUACAAUACAGGCUUACAAUUUACACAAAUCUAUAGUAAGUGUGGAAACAGAAACACUGUUAUACCAAAAAAUUGUAAUACUAUAAAUAAAAUUUUAACUCUUGAAUAUAUUCUGCAGCAUUUGUUAGUCUGGUAGCAAGCUGAAAAAGGUUAUAUAUUCUUGCCUUUACUGAAUCUGUAAUUGAAAUCAUAAUGCUAUAAUAAUGAUGUGCUUUUCUAAUUAAAAAUCCUUUGAAAGUGGUGUGAAAAAUAAAAAAUAGUUUUAGUACUUUUAAGAAUUAUUAAAAAUUACAAUGGCACACUAACACGUUCUCCAAAGGAAAAGAUCUUAAGCUACAUCUUCCAUAUUAGAUGUGUGUAACUUCAAUCAAAUACAAUUUUCAUG